CCUACGGGGGGCUGCAGUGGGGAAUAUUGCACAAUGGGGGAAACCCUGAUGCAGCGACGCCGCGUGAGUGAAGAAGUAUUUCGGUAUGUAAAGCUCUAUCAGCAGGGAAGAAAAUGACGGUAGCUGAUUAACAAUCCCCGGCUAACUACGUGCCAGCAGCCGCGGUAAUACGUAGGGGGCAAGCGUUAUCCGGAUUUACUGGGUGGAAAGGGAGCGUAGACGGCAGCACAAGUCAGGCGUGAAAUGCCGGGGCUUAACCCCGGAACUGCUUUGGAAACUGUGCAGCUAGAGUGCAGGAGAGGUAAGUGGAAUUCCAAGUGUAGCGGUGAAAUGCGUAGAUAUUAGGAGGAACACCAGUGGCGAAGGCGACUUACUGGACUGUAACUGACGUUGAGGCUCGAAAGCGUGGGGAGCAAACAGGAUUAGAUACCCUGGUAGUC
rnacentral:rRNA from 1 species